rnacentral:rRNA from 1 species
UGGAGAGCUCGCUCUCCUGAUUAGUGGCGCACGGGUGAGUAACAUAUAGAUAACGUGCCUCUUAGUCUGGGAUAGCCAUUGGAAACGAUGAUUAAUACCGGAUACUCCUUCUCCUUCUAAUUGGAGUUGGGAAAGUUUUUCGCUAAGAGAUCGGUCUAUAUCCCCAUCAGCUAGUUGGUAGUGUAAGAGACUACCAAGGCAAUGACGGGUAGCGGGUUUGAGAGGAUGAUCCGCCACACUGGUACUGAGACACGGACCAGACUCC